CCUUUCGUAAUUUUAGAUUAUCCUGAGUGGCCCCGCAUUCGUCUCCAGCGCACAAAGAAGUCUCAGCAUCCUUCCUACCUCUGCAUAGUCUGAUGAUAGCCGCCGGGUUAGUCCUGAGGUUUUAAGGGCUCAACCUAACACCCAGCAGACUAGAAGAAAGAUCUGGAACGCAAUGUUGGAAACACCUGCCGGAAAGAAUAAGCACUCACUUAUAUUAGAAGGAUGAAGAGGCAAUUAGAGGACCAGAUGGGGUUUCUGAUACACUUGGGAACAACAGAUGGUGACUCCAGCAGAUAUGUCCCUGCCACCCUCAUGGGAGACCUGAACCUGGGCUCAUCGUUUCAGCCAAGCCAAGCCCUGACUGUUGCAAGUAUUUGAAGAGUGAAGCAGUGGAUAAAAAU